rnacentral:tRNA from 1 species
CGGGACGUGGCGCAGCUUGGUAGCGUACCUGACUGGGGGUCAGGGGGUCGUGGGUUCGAAUCCCGCCGUCCCGAC